rnacentral:rRNA from 1 species
UGCAGUCGAGCGACAGAUAAGGAGCUUGCUCCUUUGACGUUAGCGGCGGACGGGUGAGUAACACGUGGGUAACCUACCUAUAAGACUGGAAUAACUCCGGGAAACCGGGGCUAAUGCCGGAUAACAUUUAGAACCGCAUGGUUCUAAAGUGAAAGAUGGUUUUGCUAUCACUUAUAGAUGGACCCGCGCCGUAUUAGCUAGUUGGUAAGGUAACGGCUUACCAAGGCAACGAUACGUAGCCGACCUGAGAGGGUGAUCGGCCACACUGGAACUGAGACACGGUCCAGACUCCUACGGGAGGCAGCAGUAGGGAAUCUUCCGCAAUGGGCGAAAGCCUGACGGAGCAACGCCGCGUGAGUGAUGAAGGUCUUCGGAUCGUAAAACUCUGUUAUUAGGGAAGAACAAAUGUGUAAGUAACUGUGCACGUCUUGACGGUACCUAAUCAGAAAGCCACGGCUAACUACGUGCCAGCAGCCGCGGUAAUACGUAGGUGGCAAGCGUUAUCCGGAAUUAUUGGGCGUAAAGCGCGCGUAGGC